UGUGAAAUUGUUGAAAGGGAAACGCUUGAAGUCAGUCGCGUUGGCUGGGGAUCAACCUUGCUUUUUUGCUUGGCUUACUUCCCAGUUGAUGGGUCAGCAUCAGUUUUGACCGGUGGAUAAAGGCUAGGGGAAUGUGGCACCCUCGGGUGUGUUAUAGCCCUUGGUCAUAUACAUUGGUUAGGACUGAGGAACUCAGCACUUGUGCUUAGGAUGCUGGCAUAAUGGCUUUAAGCGACCCGUCUUG
rnacentral:rRNA from 1 species